rnacentral:piRNA from 1 species
UAUUACCAUAUUUAGCUGCCUUUACUU